rnacentral:rRNA from 1 species
GACGAACGCUGGCGGCGUGCUUAACACAUGCAAGUCGAACGAUGAACCCGGAGCUUGCUCCGGCGGAUUAGUGGCGAACGGGUGAGUAACACGUGAGUAACCUGCCCUUGACUCUGGGAUAACUGCGGGAAACUGUAGCUAAUACCGGAUACGACCCUCGGCGGCAUCGCCAGGGGGUGGAAAGAAUUUCGGUCAAGGAUGGACUCGCGGCCUAUCAGCUAGUUGGUGAGGUAACGGCGCACCAAGGCGACGACGGGUAGCCGGCCUGAGAGGGUGACCGGCCACACUGGGACUGAGACACGGCCCAGACUCCUACGGGAGGCAGCAGUGGGGAAUAUUGCACAAUGGGCGCAAGCCUGAUGCAGCGACGCCGCGUGAGGGAUGACGGCCUUCGGGUUGUAAACCUCUUUUAGCAGGGAAGAAGCGAAAGUGACGGUACCUGCAGAAAAAGCACCGGCUAACUACGUGCCAGCAGCCGCAGUAA